UGCCUAGCAACACCUAUCCCUAGCUCUUCACGAUACUAUCCGGGGUACGAGCAAUCUUAUUGAAGAUCGGGUAACCAACCCCGAUUGGAAGUUUGGUCGUAUGCUGACAGGGAAGG
rnacentral:ribozyme from 1 species